UACGUAGGUGGCGAGCGUUGUCCGGAUUUAUUGGGCGUAAAGAGCUCGUAGGCGGCUUGGCAAGUCGGGUGUGAAACCUCCAGGCUCAACCUGGAGACGCCACUCGAUACUGCCAUGGCUAGAGUCCGGUAGGGGACCACGGAAUUCCUGGUGUAGCGGUGAAAUGCGCAGAUAUCAGGAGGAACACCGGUGGCGAAGGCGGUGGUCUGGGCCGGCACUGACGCUGAGGAGCGAAAGCGUGGGUAGCAAACAGG
rnacentral:rRNA from 1 species